AACAACGAUUAAGAGUUGUUGACGUACUUUCUAAACUAUGUUAAAAAUUAAACUAGAGUUGUCUCUCUUUGUGUGUUGUUAAUUGUAAUUCACAAAUACCAAAAUUAAAAUACUGUACAGACUUUCUGUAUAUUAUACUCAUUUGUGUAGAGGUUCCAUCCUCUGUAUUUCAUUUACAACUUAUACAAAAACAAUCCUUUGAAUUAAAAAUACAUUUUAUUACACCAACUUGUAUUUACAUUUUCAUGACUAGAAUAUACAUUUUUAC
rnacentral:lncRNA from 1 species